rnacentral:rRNA from 1 species
AUUGAACGCUGGCGGCAUGCUUUACACAUGCAAGUCGAACGGCAGCGCGGGCUUCGGCCUGGCGGCGAGUGGCGAACGGGUGAGUAAUACAUCGGAACGUGCCCAGUAGUGGGGGAUAGCUCGGCGAAAGCCGGAUUAAUACUGCAUACGACCAGAGGGUGAAAGCGGGGGAUCUUCGGACCUCGCGCUAUUGGAGCGGCCGAUGGCAGAUUAGCUAGUUUGUGGGGUAAAGGCCUACCAAGGCGACGAUCUGUAGCUGGUCUGUGAGGAGGAGCAGCCACACGAGGAGUGAAACGCGGCCCAGACGCCUACGGGAGGGAGCAGAGGGGAAUUGUGGACAGUAGGCGAAAGCCUUGUCCAACAAUGCCACGUGUGUGAUGGAGGCCUUCGGGUUGGAAAGCACUUUUGGCGGGAACGAAAAGGACUGUGCCAAUACCACGGUUCGAUGACGGUACCCGCAGAAUAAGCACCGGCUAACUACGUG